UACGUAGGGUGCGAGCGUUAAUCGGAAUUACUGGGCGUAAAGUGUGCGCAGGCGGCCGCGCAAGUCGAGUGUGAAAGCCCCGAGCUUAACUUGGGAAUUGCGCUCGAAACUACGUGGCUGGAGUGUGGCAGAGGAAGGUGGAAUUCCAGGUGUAGCGGUGAAAUGCGUAGAUAUCUGGAGGAACACCGGUGGCGAAGGCGGCAUCCUGGACCGGUAUUGACGCUGAGGAGCGAAAGCCAGGGGAGCAAACGGG
rnacentral:rRNA from 1 species